AUCUCUCUAGUAUUAACGCUAAUACAAGUGGCUUCCAACCACUUAAUCUUGGUUAAACCCCAAGGAGAGAUA
rnacentral:tRNA from 1 species